GGGGAAUAUUGCACAAUGGGCGCAAGCCUGAUGCAGCAACGCCGCGUGAAGGAAGACGGUUUUCGGAUUGUAAACUUCUGUUCUUAGUGAAGAAUAAUGACGGUAGCUAAGGAGCAAGCCACGGCUAACUACGUGCCAGCAGCCGCGGUAAUACGUAGGUGGCAAGCGUUGUCCGGAAUUACUGGGUGUAAAGGGAGCGCAGGCGGGUGAUCAAGUCAGCUGUGAAGACUACGGGCUUAACCCGUAGACUGCAGUUGAAACUGUUCAUCUUGAGUGAAGUAGAGGUUGGCGGAAUUCCGAGUGUAGCGGUGAAAUGCGUAGAUAUUCGGAGGAACACCGGUGGCGAAGGCGGCCAACUGGGCUUUAACUGACGCUGAGGCUCGAAAGUGUAGGGAGCAAAC
rnacentral:rRNA from 1 species